UUGGUUCGAUUAUUCCAUCGGAUGACAUUCUAUAGAAUCGUAUGUCUCAUUAAAAAAAAAUUGUUUGGUUCACAUCAACAAAAAAGUGAUCCAGACUCAGGUGUUCAUUGGAAUCACCCAUUUACACUAAAAGUGGGGAUUCAACUAGAUUAACCUAGUUAGGUAAAUCCAAGAUCGAAUCAAUGAUUCCAGGGUUCAUAUAAAAAUCCCAGAAUCAGGGUGACUUAAGUUAUCGGGUUUUCACCUUUCCCAUCCUUCGGAAGCCGCAGGUUUCUUCUGAAAACCGCAGGUUCCUCAUUGUGCAAGAUUUUAGGGAUUGUCUUCGUCGAUCAACUGAAGAAGGGGGUGUUUUCCAGAUUGUUUGAGAUUUACUUUUACAAUGGAGUUUGAUGAUGGCUACAAGAGGUGAAGGAAAAUCAUAAUCUUUGCGGCGACUGUUGUUGUUAUAGCAGUAGACCAGUAUAUAAAAAAAUAUCUGAACAAAGAGCCAACUGAAUUUAUGAUGGACGUGACUGGUACUCAGGUUGAGGGGAUAGGGAACAAUGAUGGACUUGACUAUUCAAAUGUUGAACUUGAAGAAAGUGUUAUUUUCACUCCCAUUGGUAGUACCAGUCGUUCUCGAGGAAGACCUCGUGGGUUUGUGAACAGUGGUAGAGAAAAUAGGAAGAAUGGUGCAGCUGAAAAGGUUGUAAGUCCAUUGAAAUCAGUUGCAAAUUCAAUCGAAAAGAUGGUAAUGAGUGAAUCUCAGUCUGAAUUUGGGAGAGCAAUUAUAGAUGUUGUUAAUGCCAUUUCAGACCUCAAUUUUCAACAAAAGUUCAAGGCAAAGGAAUAUUUCAUGGCAAAAAAGAAUUCUGCCAUUAUCGUCAUGGAAACAAAAAAAGAAGAUAGGAGAAAUCUGCUUGAGAUGUAUUUGCCAGAAAUUGAGAAGAAUUGAGGUGACAGUAGGAAGUGAGAAGAAAUCUUAAGACAAUGGUUUUUUUAUUAGAAAUUUGAUGUGUUGGUUGAUGUAAUUUGAUACUAUGUUAAGUCUCUGACAAUGGUUUUUUGUAUGUUCCUCUA